UACGUAGGGAGCAAGCGUUGUCCGGAAUCAUUGGGCGUAAAGCGCGCGUAGGCGGCCCGAUAAGUCCGCUGUAAAAGUCAACGGCUCGACUGUUGAAAGCCGGUGGAUACUGUCGGGCUAGAGUACGGAAGAGGCAAGUGGAAUUCCUGGUGUAGCGGUGGAAUGCGCAGAUAUCAGGAGGAACACCCAUAGCGAAGGCAGCUUGCUGGGACGUUACUGACGCUAAGGCGCGAAAGCGUGGGGAGCGAACAGG
rnacentral:rRNA from 1 species